rnacentral:rRNA from 1 species
AUGUGGGCCCCUUUGAAGUGCAAAUUCUUUGCCUGGUUAGUCCUUCAAAACCGUGUUUGGACAGCAGAUCGACUGACGCGAAAGGGAUGGCAUAACUAUGGCCUUUGCCCCCUCUACAAACAAGUGCAAGAGUCUGCAGCCCACCUGUUUUUUCAGUGUCGAUUCUCAGGUAGAGUCUGGAAUGAGAUUACCGCCUGGCUUGGCAUUCACCACUACACACCACUGACUUGGCGGAAUGAGGAUUCGGUUAGAGUUUGCUGGAUCAAGGCUGUGGGCGCGGGAGACCAACACAGGAAGGCCCUUGCUUCGGUUAUGAUGUUAGUUUCAUGGGAAAUUUGGAAGGAACGAAAUGCAAGAAUUUUUCGCAACAUGGCCGCUCCAACAACGAUCGUCGUCAGCAGAAUCAAGGAGGAAGCCCGCCUCUGGGCGCUUGCUGGAGCCAAGCAUUUGAGCCUACUUAUGUCACGAGAGUAG